UCAGAAGAUAAUGUCCUGGCAGUAAGCUCAGUGUUUCCAUAGCAUUCACUUCACAAAGCAUUACACAAAAGUUAUGUGGUUAUAAUAUGUCUUUCUAAUGUUCUUACAUGAUUGGUGAUCUGUUUGUGGCAGGGUCCCAGAGUUUGUGCAAGAAAAGCAGUUUGGAAAUUGGCUGAAGGAUGCACCUGACUGGGCAAUGUCCAGAAACAGAUCCUGGGGCACCCCCAUCCCACUGUGGUCAGUGAAGACUGAGGAAUGUGGAGAACGGAUUAUGGAAGUGGCCAUCUUUCUGUUUGAUGGCAUUGACCACCUGACCAUUCCAUCACACUGGGGAUGAGAAUCUCCGAGGUGUUUGACUGCUGGUUCGAGAGUGGCAGCAUGCCCUGUGCUCAGGUUCUUUAUCCAUUUGGAAAUGGGAGCUUGAGGAUGCUUUUCCUGCAGACUUCAUUGCCGAAGGCAUUGACCAAACCAGAGGGUGGUAUAUAUGGAUAUUCGUGCAGGGAAACAGACACCAAGGCUUUUCAGGAAGCAGUAUUUAUUAGUGUGCUGGUGGCUUAGAAGAUUCACAUCCAAAGGCUGAGCCCCAAGAACAAAGGGGCUCUCACCUUACACACCCUUGCAAGCAGGUUACAGAAGCAAGAAGCAAGGUUUAACCCAUCUAUGGUUGCAUGUGAGUCCAUUGGCUACUUCACCCCCAGUGCCGUGUGACCUUCUUCACGUUCAGAUUCUUUAAGUUUUCUCUCCCUGCUAUGCCAUCCCCUCCCCCUGCUACAUUAUCAGAACACAGCCUUGCUUGCUUUUUUCUGGCCCUCCUCCCUGCUACAUCGUUCCCCCCUUUGAUGCUGAGCCCCACCUAGGGUCAAAGAGCAUCAU
rnacentral:lncRNA from 1 species